AAAGUGCUCACUUUCUGUCUGGUUGGCAGUGAGUGUAGGCUCUUACCACCACCACGGCCAAUAUUAGUAUAAACACAUUAGUUAAACUUCUCUUUCUCCUCCUGUGAUGGUUAAUACUAGAUGCCAACUUGAUUAGUUUGAAGGAUGCCUAGAAAACUGGAAAAGUAUUGUUUUUGGGUGUGUCUGUGAGGGUGUUGCCAGAGGAGAUUAACAUUUGAGUCAUUGGACUGGGAGAGGAAGACCCACACUCUAUGUAGGUGGGCACCAUCCAAUUGGCUGCCAGCCCCGCGUGGCUAAAACAAAGCAGACAGAAUAAGGUGGAAUAAGCUGGUUUUCUGAGUCUUCCAUCCUUCAUCAUUCUCUCGUGCUAGAUGCUUCCUGCCCUUGGACAUCAGACUGCAGGUUCUUCAACCUUUGGACUCUUGGACCUGCACCAGUGGUUUGCCAGGGGCUCUCGGGCCUUUGGCCACAGACUGAAGGCUUCCCUACUUCUGAGGAUUUUGGACUCAGACUGAGCCACCACUGGCUUCCUACCUCCUCAGCUUGCCGAGGAUCUAUCAUGGGACUUCCUUUACCUUGUGAUAGGAAUCAACAAGACUUUCUUACACACACAGCGUGACCAUAAGUGGAGAGAUAAAUGUGCCAGAGUAAAGACAGCCAUACAUACUUGACACUUCUCCCAUUAAAAAGUGGAGUCUAUUUCCUUCCACUUGAAUCUGCACUGACCUGAG
rnacentral:lncRNA from 1 species